rnacentral:rRNA from 1 species
UGGGGAAUAUUGGACAAUGGAGGGAACUCUGAUCCAGCAAUUCUGUGUGUGUGAAGAAGGUUUUAGGACUGUAAAACACUUUUAGUAGGGAAGAAAAAAAUGACGGUACCUACAGAAGAAGCAACGGCUAAAUACGUGCCAGCAGCCGCGGUAAUACGUAUGUUGCGAGCGUUAUCCGGAAUUAUUGGGCUUAAAGGGCAUCUAGGCGGUAAGACAAGUUGAAGGUGAAAACCUGUGGCUCAACCAUAGGCUUGUCUACAAAACUGUUGAACUAGAGUACUGGAAAGGUGGGUGGAACUACACGAGUAGAGGUGAAAUUCGUAGAUAUGUGUAGGAAUGCCGAUGAUGAAGAUAACUCACUGGACAGAAACUGACGCUGAAGUGCGAAAGCUAGGGGAGCGAACAGG